rnacentral:rRNA from 1 species
CAAUAGCGUAUAUUAAAGUUGUUGCAGUUAAAAAGCUCGUAGUUGGAUUUGUGGCGUACGGUGUGUUCCGGGCACUUGUUGUCUGAGUAACCUGCUGUUGCCAUCCUUGGGUGGAACCUGUGUGGCAUUAGGUUGUCGUGCAGGGGAUGCCCAUCAUUUACUGUGAAAAAAUUAGAGUGUUCAAAGCAGGCUUAUGCCGUUGAAUAUAUUAGCAUGGAAUAAUGAGAUAGGACUUUUUUGCUACUUUGUUGGUUUGCGCAAAGAGGUAAUGAUUAAUAGGGACAGUUGGGGGUAUUCGUAUUCCAUUGUCAGAGGUGAAAUUCUUGGAUUUUUGGAAGACGAACUACUGCGAAAGCAUUUACCAAGGAUGUUUUCAUUAA